UCAGCAAAUUUUCAUUUUUGGAUGAAACUAUUCCUUUAUUAUAUUUAAAUAAAAGUAGUGAAUGAAGUAGGAUCAAAUUGAAUUAAUUAUUUUUUUUAAAUGCAUAUGACUCUUUUUAGUCAUAACUAGAAAAUAACAGUCUGUCAAGUCUUUCCUAGGAUGCAUUACUUGUGUUGAAUUUUUUUUUAGUUUUUGUGUGGAAUACUAAUUUAAAAACUGGCAUAUUUGAGCAUAUUUUCACACUGAUAAUCUGGAAGUAAAGCUGUAAAUAUGCUUGUAAAGAAUGUGAAGUUGGUGACGGUCACGGACACGGAAGUUUACAGAGGAUCAUCUCCUCCUCUUCUGUUCCUGGUGCGGUGCCAGGUCUACGCAGCCUUGCAUCCAUGUGCAACAGGUAUGAAUAAACAUAGAAGUAGUCCUAUAUAAACCUCCAGCUAUAACCUGCAAAUCCUUGGAAGGACACGAGGUCCUUGAUGUUUCUGGGUCACGGCCAGGUAGUAAGGGUGGAAAUCUUUUCAGGACCUGUCUCCACUCCAUUCCUCAAAACCACAUGGCCGAGAUAUUUGACUAAUGUCCAAAAGUAUGGCAUGUCUCAGAGGACAGUUACAUUCUUUCAGUGUACUGAAUCCUCAAAACAAGCAAUUCUAUAUUCCUAGACAAACAUGGCAUUGGCAGAGGAGACAUUCAUGCUGUUCAGCUCGACAUCACAUUCUGGAAGCUGCUAGACUCAUCACAAAGGCAGAUUUAAUGUGGGUUGUUUUCACUAGAUGUACCUUCACUACUUUUAUCUACAUCUAUGAAAUGGAAGCAUUGACUGUGGCGAGGGACUUUCCUCAAAGCUACAUAACCAUUUAAGCCUUUUAUUAUCUGAUUCUUUGAUUGAACAUCUGAAAAUCUACACCUUGCCAGUUUGCGUCACUCUUGUUAUUUACGACUGUAGUGGGAGAUGUCAAGGGGCUUUCAUCUGGAGCUUCUUUAGGGUCGAAUGCGUAAUUAUAUGUCACUAAUGUGUCACAUAAUAUUUCUUUAGGUUGAGGCACAAUCUGACCACCUGCACUUUCCAUUUCUAGUUGAGAAGUAGCUGACACUUGACCCUCAUCAAAUAGCUUUGACACUUUAGUAAGUUGAGUGCAAGUGCAUUUGCACCAUAAUUUGUGAUAAAGCUGUGCGAUCAGCCCAUCGCUGGGUGAUAAGAGUUUGGCCAUUACAGUUUGUUCUCACUUUUUUUGUGAACAGCUUUACUCAUUGUCAUGUGCUACAGAUUGUGUGUCCUCUAGAACACGGUGCUCUUUAUGUACGCUCCUUUUUUCAUCUCACUUUCAGGUUUUGUGUACAAAGUCUUGUCAGGUGCCAGCUUCAGUACAGUACACAACAAACACUAUUAGGUUAAACAUAGACAUCGGUUGAAAUGAACAGAAGACCUACUAAACAGAUACAGAUGUUCCGUCACAGAUCGAGCUGUUAGUGUCAAAAAAAAAAAAUGUGAUAGGUUGUUAAAUGAUUUCACAUGAAGAUUUAAAUAAACUCUACAGCAGGGUUCCCAAACUUUUCCAUUCCAUGACCCACCCAGACAAGUAUAAUCUAUUUCAUUACAAACCAAAAUAUUUGAGAUCAAAAACAAUUGAUCUGGGAGGUUAACACAUGUCCCUCCCUCCUAGCUAUGGCUCAGGUCUCUCUUUCGGUGUGAGUUUGUGGAUUUUUUGUGCAGUGUUUUCGUCUGUUGUUUGCCAGACAGAAAUCAUGAAGUUAAAUCACAUCUCUUCUCAACAGGGCAUGUGAUUUGAAGUAUUGCUCAUGCCCACACCACAAAUCUUGCAACCUCAUGAAGUUGGUUCAGUGAAUCUCUAGAGUGUGUAAAACUGUUAUUGAAGCACAUAGUGGCCAAAAGAUAAAAAUAUAUUUUUAGAUUUAAAAUGUUAUGAGAGUGUGUGUGUAGCCUAUGUGUGGUCUUGGUAUUCCCUACUUUAUGGGGGCUUUUUCUUGGUGCAGAAAGUUUUGUGUGGGGGUAAGGUUAAGGUAAUGGGAUAGAAAAUACAGUUUGUACAGUAUAAAAACAUAUAAUACAUAACAUUUCUAUGGAAUGUCCCCAUAAAGCAUGGAAAGCAUCAGUGUGUGUGUAGGUUAAUGUUGAAUUGAGCAGGACUGAGGCAGCAGUCUGUUAACUAUUUCACCGUUCAUGUGAAACCCAAACCCUUUCAGCACAUAGCGAUCAAGCCACACACACACACAAACACAUACACACACACAAACACACAGUUUAAACAACCCAAGUACCUUUGAAUACUCCACAGCAAUACGAGUCUCAAGAUGGUUUUCUUCCUUCCAGCACUAAUUUUAAGUCUCCGUGGCAACAAUAUCCCACCAGAUCAUGAUAUAAAUAUAUGUAUUUUAAGAAAAAAAAGUAUUUUAGGUAGGUUUUUAUUUUAGAGAGAUACAUUGUAAUGAUAACCCUGGUAUAUGUGAAUGGAAAAAAGACAAAACAAAAACAAGAUUUUUUUUUGCAGUGUACGAAGUACCACAUCAAAAAUAUAUAUUAUAAUUGCUUCUUUUUCAGUACAUUUUGUAAUUUAGAUAGUUGUAUUAAAAAAUUGCUGAUGGAUUUAAAAAAAAGUCUAGCAAGUUUACAGAAUUAUGUAUCUUGCAUCUUAUUGAACAAAAUGGAUGAAGUAUUAGCUUUUCCCUAUAGCUUUUCCUGUUCCUUGUUUUUCCAUUUGAGUCAAAGGAGAUGAAUAAGAUGGGAUUUUACCUGCAUAUACUAGACUAAUAGUGGCAUAAUCCAGUAGAAUGGACUAGUCUUUAAUCUUUAGAGCAUGAACUAGAUGCCCAUAAUGUGAUCCAGGUUUCAGUUUGCGUAUUUUGUUCUCAGUGAUCGAUCAGACCUGACUCAUGCUGUCUAUUUGUGUGUACAGUUUUUAACCUCCACGAUCAUAUACACCAUCGCACUGAAAUGUCUGAAACCGCAAUUCCAGUUGCUGUAGGUUCAGUUUAAUAUUACGAAAACAGGAAAUUUGAGGGGUUUUGUCAUACAGUCUCUUACAAGUUGCCAUUUCCCAGCAAGUGGACUGCAUAAGUUCUUACCAAAUAAUCAUUCAUUACCAAUGGCCAUGUGAGGAAGAGUUGUGUGCAAAGAAACAGAUGAUGAUCAACGUACCAGCAGUGAAAGCAGUGCCUCAUACAAAACAGAUGUAUUUUUCUCUCUCUUUCUCUUCACCUCAUCCCUUUGGCUAAAUCUAUUCUGUGUCCACAUCUGUGUUUAUAGUGAAUGUGAAUAUCUCACAAGCAGGAAAGACCAUAGAAAGGUAAAAGGCCACAUCGCAAAACUAAGACAAAACAAUAUUAUGCUGCUCUUUGUGCUGUGGUUGCCAGCAACCAUAGACCACUCUGGAAACAUUUUAAAAUGAUCUUUUAGCAGAAAACAUGCACAGUAGUACACGUGAACUGUUUGUCCGUUUUCUCUGUUCUUCAGCUGCUUUGAUUCGAAUGAACAUUUUAUGAAAAGGGUCUGAAAAGAGACACAAAGAAGUCACCAGCCUGGGCUUUGACAUUCAAAGCAUGGGACAUUUGAUUGGGAUAUUGCCUAGUCGUUUUGUCAUUAUAUUAUUUUCUGUUUGUUGAAACAGGACCUCAAAACAACACAACGCAUCACCUCAUUUAUUUUUAUUUAUUUUUGUUUUUCAUACCAAAAACCUGGGGAGAAGAAACUUAUUUUUGCACAAUUGCUAUCUGAAGAAUAAUCGAGUUAGUGUUAGUGUUUUUGCUAGAAAUAAUUGAUUCAUAAGAACGCCUAGUGAGUUUUCUCUACAUCCUGCUCUGUUAGUGGGCUGAUAUUGAUUAAUAGGCAUUCGUGGAUUUUUUGGGCAUUUUAACAAUAAUUAAAAUAAUAAUAAUAAUAAUUUAAGGUCAUUUAAAAUGAAUUUGACUAUUUAAAAAAAUUGAAUUGAACGUACUGUCAUAGUUUGGCUUGAAGCUAUCAAAAUGUAUCAUUUAUCACUUAUUUCUAAGAAAUAGGAAGAUAUAUGUUUAACAAUAAAAGAAGGCUUUUGGCAAUUUUUAAGUUUGUCCUCCCCAGGUUUUCUGUGAGCUGAUCUGAAUUCUAGCACUUUUAAACCUUUAAAAAGAGUAUUUUUCAGCCUUGUAUGUUUGUAUGUUUUUAAUUUUGUAUUUGAUCUUGUAUGUGCCAUUAGUUUGAUGCGUAGAGUUUAUUAAUCUUUAUGUAAUUGUUGUUUUUCUCCUUUCCCAAAAGAGUAACAGUAUUUUAGAUAGAUUUUCACUAAUAUUAACAGCAUUGGCCCUUUUGCCAUGCUGUCUUGUCAUACAUUUGAGGAAGUCAUUUAAUCUUAAAAUAGAUGUUAGAGUAACAUGCUCCGAAGCAUUCUCUGUGUCUGAAUUCUGAUAAAAUCAUUGCCACAAACAAACGGAAAAAAAAUAAAGUUUCCAGCUCCAUCUAUAACUGAGGUGUUUUCAACUGGUGUGAAAUUGUUCCCAGCUCUCUGCCCCCAGAAAAGCACUUUUGGUUCAAAUGAAGUUUUAUAUAAUAACUGCCUGGAUAGUUGGAACUCAGCAUCUUGCUUGCUUUUUUUUUUUAACCAGCAACAUUCUGCAACACAGACAGAUUAAGCAAGUUAAAUUGACCUUUUCCUCUCUUGUUAAGAUGCACUUGUCCUUUACGCCCCAAAUACUAACAAAAAUAUUAAGGGAAAUUAUUAGGUAACCAAGCUAGGGUAAAACAAAACAAUCUGACUUUUAAGAAAAGGAAAAAUGAUUCAAUAAAAUGCUCUUUCGGCUUAUAGUGAGAAAAUGGGUACGUCCGCAGAGGACAAAAUCCACUUGUAGUUUGAUAUACUUUAGCUUAAUGUAAGUCUUGCAUUCCAAGCUUUUUAUGUAACUUGUUUAGCAAUAUAGUCGUUCUAUUUUUAGUACUUGCUUAUUACAACGACUUCUGGAAAAAAAGGUGAAAACAAAAAAAAAAUGGAAUAUUCAUCCUUACACUAUUUUAUGUAACAUGGAGAAGAUGAUUGACGGGACGAAUUGUACAAAAGAAAUGCAUAAAGGAGACAAACUGUGCUUUUUUUGUUACACAGCUCACCUGCGGUCAGUUGCUGCAUUGUAAAGUUGACAGAUUUGUAUAUUGGUUGAUCCAAAGAGAUGACAUUACAACAAACCUAUUUACUUAUUGUACAGUACAUUGUACCAUUUGACUUAUGUAUGUUAUGUUAAAAUGAUUAAAAGAUGAACCCACGGUUUCUUA